GUAGGUGGCAAGCGUUGUCCGGAAUUAUUGGGCGUAAAGCGCGCGCAGGUGGGUUCUUUAAGUCUGAUGUGAAAGCCCCCGGGCUCAACCGGGGAGGGUCACUGGAAACUGGGGAACUUGAGUGCAGGAGAGGAAAGUGGAAUUCCACGUGUAGCGGUGAAAUGCGUAGAUAUGUGGAGGAACACCAGUGGCGAAGGCGACUUUCUGGCCUGUAACUGACACUGAGGCGCGAAAGCGUGGGGAGCAAACAGGAUUAGAUACCCUGGUAGUCCACGCCGUAAACGAUGAGUGCUAAGUGUUGGGGGGUUUCCGCCCCUCAGUGCUGCAGCUAACGCAUUAAGCACUCCGCCUGGGGAGUACGGUCGCAAGACUG
rnacentral:rRNA from 1 species